UACGUGGGGGGCAAGCGUUGUCCGGAUUUAUUGGGCGUAAAGAGCGUGUAGGCGGCCAGGUAGGUCCGUUGUGAAAACUCGAGGCUCAACCUCGAGACGCCGAUGGAAACCGUCUGGCUAGAGUCCGGAAGAGGAGAGUGGAAUUCCUGGUGUAGCGGUGAAAUGCGCAGAUAUCAGGAAGAACACCCGUGGCUAAGGCGGCUCUCUAGUACGGUACUGACGCUGAGACGCGAAAGCGUGGGGAGCGAACAGG
rnacentral:rRNA from 1 species